GCGCCCGUAGCUCAAUUGGAAAGAGCGUUUGACUACGGAUCAAAAGGUUAGGGGUUCGACUCCUCUCGGGCGCGCCA
rnacentral:tRNA from 1 species